rnacentral:tRNA from 1 species
GGUGUUGUAGCUCAGUGGUAGAGCACUUGCCUAGCACUUGUGGGACCCUGAGUUCGAUCCUUAGCAUCACAU